CCUAAGUUCAUCCAUAAAUCCUAAGUUCAUCCAUAAUCCUAAGUUCAUCCAUAAACCCUAAGUUCAUCCAUAAACCCUAAGUUCGUCCAUAAACCCUAAGUUCAUUCAUGCUAAAUUUCCAUUCAUCAAUCAUCCAUCCCUUAAUUCUCAUUCAUCCCAUAACAUUCAUUCAUUCAAAGUUUGUUCAUCCAAUUUUCAUCUAAAGAUUCAUUCAUCCAACCAUAAGUCAACUUAUCAUCCAACUGACAAUUCGUACAAUUGACCUAAUUCAUCCAAGAUUCAUCCUAAAAAUUAAAGAAAAUUGGAAGUCGCCUCCUUCCAGUCAUGGUAUCGACCCCCUUGCACGAAUUCCACUACAAUGGUUGCAUCACUAACUUGUUUAUAACAAGCUUUACUAUUUUAGAAAGUAGACUUACAAGCGCUGUCUUCCAACAAAAUUCAAUGCAAAAAAACAAUUAAGCUAAAAGAAAUCUUGCCUCAAAGUUGCCUGACUUUCUCGGCCUAGUCAGAGUACCCCUGGCCACAAAAACCCUUGCCCUUGCUCCAUUCCAGUUGUGCAACGCAUAUGCUUUAGCAUUCCAGAAACUAGAAUUCAAGCCGCAUCACCUCCAAUAAUUUUUUCUUGAAAAUCUUGAGUGAAUUCCAAGAUAUGACCUUCCAAAGUAGCUUGAGUUGGCGGAGUGCUACAUCUUCACCAAGGCCGACUCCUCUUCACUCCAACCACCAUAACUUCCUUGGCCUUUACUCAAUCUAAGCGUGCAAAUAGUCCUUACAAAGUUGACAACAAGAACCAUCCACCACAAAAGUUUCAGCUCCAAAUUCAAUACUGUCCGCCAACAAUCGCCUUCCAAAGUCGGACCUCCAGAUCUGGCCGGCAGCUGACCUCCUUGUCACUAAAACACCACAACUUUCUUGUUUUCUCCCAAACAAAGCGUGCCUACUGUCCCGAGGAAGCUAACGACAAGAUCUAACUAUUGGUAAAGUUUGACGUUCUAUUUCCAAAUAACUAAUACACUACAGCUGCGCAAUUGCAGCUCUAGAGAAACAAGGGUACAUGGGGAAGCAAUUUGGCAUGGCUUCGCCUGAAAGAAAAAAAAAAAAGAAAAAAAAAAGAAA
rnacentral:lncRNA from 1 species